GUUUCAGCCGCCGCGGUAAUACGAACUGUGCAAACGUUAUUCGGAAUCACUGGGCUUACAGGGUGCGUAGGCGGCCAGACAAGUAGGGUGUGAAAGCCCCCGGCUUAACCGGGGAAUGGCGCCCUAAACUGUCCGGCUGGAGUGAGAUAGGGGUGUGCGGAACUUCCGGUGGAGCGGUGAAAUGUGUUGAUAUCGGAAGGAACGCCGGUGGCGAAAGCGGCACACUGGAUCUCAACUGACGCUGAGGCACGAAAGCCAGGGGAGCGAACGGGAUUAGAUACCCCUGUAGUCC
rnacentral:rRNA from 1 species